UAGGGAAUCUUCGGCAAUGGGGGGAACCCUGACCGAGCAACGCCGCGUGAGUGAAGAAGGUUUUCGGAUCGUAAAGCUCUGUUGUUAAGGAAGAACGAGUGUGAGAAUGGAAAGUUCAUGCUGUGACGGUACUUAACCAGAAAGGGACGGCUAACUACGUGCCAGCAGCCGCGGUAAUACGUAGGUCCCGAGCGUUGUCCGGAUUUAUUGGGCGUAAAGCGAGCGCAGGCGGUUAGAAAAGUCUGAAGUGAAAGGCAGUGGCUCAACCAUUGUAGGCUUUGGAAACUGUUUAACUUGAGUGCAGAAGGGGAGAGUGGAAUUCCAUGUGUAGCGGUGAAAGGCGUAGAUAUAUGGAGGAACACCGGUGGCGAAAGCGGCUCUCUGGUCUGUAACUGACGCUGAGGCUCGAAAGCGUGGGGAGCGAACAGG
rnacentral:rRNA from 2 species